AAACUAACCUGGCAGGGGGGAUACUAUCAUCACAAAGGUGGUUUUCCCAGAGUGAAGCUCAUCCAUUACACUCAGGAUGUGCUGACCCCUGUGAUUUCCCCAAAUGUGGGAAACUCGAUUGUGUAAUUUGUGGUAGUGGGUACUACAUUUGCACUUUCCCU